rnacentral:rRNA from 1 species
CCCUUAGACGUUCUGGGCCGCACGGGCGCUACACUGACCAGUGCAACAAGCAUCCGUCCUUGGCCGACAGGCCCGGGCAAUCUUUGAACGCUGGUCGUGAUGGGGAUAGACUUUUGCAAUUUUUGGUCUUCAACGAGGAAUUCCUAGUAAACGCAAGUCAUCAACUUGCAUUGAUUACGUCCCUGCCCUUUGUACACACCGCCCGUCGCACCUACCGAUUGAAUGGUCCGGUGAAGCCUCCGGAUUGGCGCGCACCUCGGUGCCGCCGAGAAGUUGGCUAAACCUUACCAUUUAGAGGAAGGUGAAGUCGUAACA